rnacentral:lncRNA from 1 species
CAGUUGUUGCUUCCUAGGAGCUGGUUCCAUGUGUCUUGGUUUGUUGUUGUUGAUGUUGUUGAUGAUGAUGUUGGUGGUGGUGGUGUUUCUGUGUCUGUUGCCAUGUUUAUGGGACUUUUUUUGUGUGAUAAUCCCAUGUUAUAGGGAGCGUGUGUGUCUGUGUUUUUGAGGGAGUGGAUAUAUAUUGUGAGGAGUUGAUGAGGGAAGAGAAGUAUGUGGUGAGAUGAGAAAGAAUCCAAGAAAGAUUAAGAUGAGAUAUUAUAUCAUCAAUUAUCAAUGUGAAAUGCGUUAUCUAUUCUUUGGUGGAUGGAAAAAGAAAGUAAUGUGAUGGUUGACCUAUCCUUCCAUUUGAUGAUGCUUUGUCUGCCAAUUUGAGAUUAAUGUUUAAUUAUUUUCACUUUAUGUGGACUUUUUUUAGUUUUACGAUGAUAGAGUUUUUUUAUAUAAGCAAAAGAUAUAUUGAAAGGAGUAAAAGGAUGCUCAACUCAAAACAAGAGUAAGGGAAGAUAGGUAAAGUGCGAGGGGAUUUAGAUAUAUUGAAAGGAGUAAAAGGUCGCUCAACUCUAAACAAGAGGAAGGGAAGAUAGGUAAAAACUAACAGAAUUUUUUAAUAUACAGUAUUAGUAUUAUUAGAGUAUUAUGUGAAAAUAUAAAAAUGUUUUUUGUUUUCGGAGAUGAAUCUUCGAACGUAUCUUGAGUAAAUAGAAUUUUAACUUAAUAUUAACAAAUUUUGAAAAUAUAUCUUUGUAAAUAUUUCAGAGAUACAUCUGCGGACAAUAUUAGUUCUAAAAUCCUGAUGUUUCUCAUUCCUUCUGAUGUCAUCAUGUUGUAGUCUGAAAAACAAAUUGAUCUUCUAACCGAUUCAUCCAACUUGACAAACUAGUUUUUGUUGCUUGUCAUAUGGUUGAUGUAACUUGUAUCAAGGUACCACACAUUUUCUUUCUCUGAGGUCAAAUGCGUUGCAACCAUCAAGAUAACAUCUUCAGAUUCACUGCUACCAUCAUGAGCAAAUUGAGUCACACUUUUGUCCUCAUCAUUGUUCUUGUUGUAGUAACAAUGUCUAGCAUAAUAAUCAAGCUUCUUACAACAAUGAUAUUGAACCUCCUUCAUGUCAACUUUCUUCUUGGUCUUUUGGUUCUGAUUAACAUCAACCUUGCUAGUUUCACCUUAGCUUCUUGAAGCCUUACCAACAUCAGCAUUAUCAUUUAACUUUUUCUUCCAUUUUUCUUUCACUUUGUUGUUGUUGAGGAAUUUUCUUUCUUCUUCCUGAAGAAAUUUGUUUGCAAUACCUGUUCAGAUACACUUUUAGGAUCUCUUUGCUUCGAUCUCAACUUAUGUACCUCAAGAGAUGCUUGCGAUUCUUCAAGCUUAAUCUCUUACAAGUCUUUAGAUUCUUCAAUUUUCCUACAAUGGAUAAAACUUGAGUUGAAUAGCCUUUAACACCUUUUCCACCUUCUGCAAUUCAGUGGUCUUUUCUCCACAUGAAUUCAUCUGAUUUGUCAAAGCCACCAUCUUUGAGAAAAACUCAACAAUGAUUUUAUCAUCUUUCUUGUGCAAGUUUUCAUAUUAAUUUCUCAAAGAUUGCAAUUUCACUUUCUUUACCUUUUCAUCUCCAUCAUGUAGCUUCUCGAAAGUAUCCCAAACCUACUUGGUCGUUUCUUGCUCGAUAAUCUUCUCAGAGAUAUUCGAAUCCACACACUGAUGGAUUAAGAACAAACAUUUUCCAUCUUUCUUGCUCAUUUCACGAUGAGCAAUCCUUUGUGCCUCAAUAACAUUUGCCUCUAUUGCCAAGAAACCAUCAUUUACGAUUUCAAGCACAUCUUGAAAUAUGAAUAUGAAUUUCAUCUGAGCACACAAUUUAUCAUAGGUUUCUCCCUUGAAAAUUGGUAUAUUAGCUGAGAAUUGGUUAGAGGUAGUGUUUGUAUUCGCCAUGGCUAGAGAUUGAGGACAAACCAAUGCUUUUGAUACCAAUUUAUUGGAUAACAUAUAUCACAAGUUACUUGACAAAUUAUGAUGAAUUGAGAGAAAAAUAUAGAGUGAUUGAGGGAAAAAUAUUGAUUAUUGUGUGUAUUUCAAUUAUAAUGAGGAGUGAUAUUUAUAAAUACACUAGCCAUCCAAAUUAAAUUUAAGACAAAUUGUUUAAAAAUAGUAUGAUAUAUCCACCUAAUUAUAUGAUAUGUUCACCUGAAUAUAUUCUUAAAAUAAUUUAUCUAACUAAAACAGAUAUACUCAUCUGCUUAUAUGAUAUAUACCGGUCUGGAAAAGGUAAUUUUAAAUUUGUAUGGAAUUGAUGGGAAAUACAUAAAUUGAUGGGAAAUACAUAAGUAAAAUAUAGGUAAAAGCUUGAAGAUUGAUUUUGAGAAAUUCAAAAUUAGAGUUAUUUAGUUCUCGGUAACAAAUUGAAGGCAAGAAAAAUUUGGAUAUUAAACUGCUUAAAUGGGGAACUUGUUUUCUUGUGACCAUUUGUACAAACACGUGAUGUUCAUCGUAUUAAAGGAAGAAAUUUUAUUGUCAUUGCAAAUAAAACUGAAUUAGUUUGUUGGCAAUGAAGAUACAAAUGAACCAAUAUAAAUCUUAGCAUCUCUUCUUCAUCCUUUAUUUUUUCUAUUUAAUUGCUUGCUUAACCCAAUCUUAAUUUGUGAUAUUGUGAAUUACAAAAUUAAUUUUUUUAGACAAUUUUUAAUUUUGAAACUUUAAGAAAAUUAUUUUAAGGUUUGAAAAUACAAAAGAAAAUAUAUAACUUAACUUACUUUAAUACUCUUCCACAAGUUCGUAAUAAUGUUUGUGAAGUGUUGUGUGCAAAUUGUGAAGUUAACACUCACAGGUUAAUUGUGAAUUAAGUGCUUACAAUGAUUCAUAUUAGUUUUAUUUCCUUGUCAUUGUUUGUGAUUGAGGUUAAUCAAUAUCAACUCAAUUUUGAGAUGGUUGGUUAUUGGUUGUUAAGAUUAAACAAAGUCCAACUUGAACAUCCCAUUCAAUUUGAAGUGUUUUGACUUAAUUUUACUUGUUGUAUUUUCAGUAUUUGUGCUUUGCAUUUUAAAUAAGUUAUUUUGCAUACAAAAUUCAUUAAACAUAUGUUUUGUUUAUAAUAUUUUUAAGGGAAAUGUUAACUAGCGUUCCAUAGAUACUCUUUAAAAGAUUAAAAAGAUAAAUUAAAUAUUUUUAAAAAAAUUAAAAAAAAGUAUUUUAAAAAAUAUGUGUAUGAAACAUAAAUAAUUAAUUUAAAAAAAAAUAUUGUAUAGUAUUAAAUAAUAUAAUAUUUUUUAUUUAAAUUUUUUAAUUACAUAACACCGGUUAGCAUGACUCAUUUUUAAAAUACUUCUACAUCACAAAUAAAACUUGCAUUUAUUUAAUAUUUCCUCUAGUCAGAGUGACUUAGGGAAAAAUGAGAUACUAAUUAUCAUUAUUUCUUUUUAGUUGGAUACAACUCAAGAAGAAUUGAUGUUUUGUGUUUUGAAGAAACGCUUGAAAGUGAUAAGAUGUAAUAUCUCAUAUUUUGUUGCAUAUGAUUUAAUGGGGGGACUAUUUUAAAAAUAGCAAUGAGGGGAAAAAAUAUCUUAAUUUGCAUGAAACAAGCUGUGAAUGUGAAUAAGAAAAUCAUUAAAUGGCUAAACGUUAUCAUAAUUUAUCUUAUCUUAGAUAGGAUAUGAGUGAUAACUCUAUUUAAGUGGGUUACGUGAGUUUAAAAUAGUUGAAUUCGUACCUUGUAAAUUGAGUGAUUAGUUGUAUUUUAUUAAAAUUAAAAUAGAUUGAAAUUUAUGUAGUCAAGCCUAUUUAUUACUCUAUUUUGUGGAUUUGUUUUGUGUUUACAGGUGACUUUGGAUGUCACGAAAGAAAACCCAUGGGUAAUGUUAAUCAAGUUUAAUAGUCGUGGUACCUCUCGUUUUUUGGAAGUUUCGGCUUAUUUUUUCUAUUAUUUCAUUUUAUGCAACACUUCCCAAGCUUCUAUGUCUUUGUAUAUGGAAUAUUAAUAUUUAUGAAAAUGCUUUUACCUAUAUGAUUUAGGUAUUAUUUAAUUUAGACUUUUCUGUAUAGUUUCAAAUGAUUGUCAUUAUGCAGUCUUUUUUUAUCCGAAUUGCUGUAAUUCUGAAGCUUGCUUUUUUUUACCCUACAAUAUACUAUAAUAUAAGGUUAGUUCGCCUCGGAUAACGACCGACGCUAGUGUACCACAAGUUCUGGGUGUGAGAAUCUUAAUUGCCAAUUCUAAAAGGGAGAAAAUACAUUUUAUUUAAACAAAGUGAUCGAUAUUAUUUACUAGGUAAUUUCAUAAGCAACCGCUAGUCUCUUAUUAAAGGUUACUUGCA